rnacentral:rRNA from 1 species
UACGUAGGAGGCAAGCGUUGUCCGGAAUUACUGGGCGUAAAGCGCGUGUAGGUGGUGGGACAAGUCUGCUGUGAAAGCGCCUGGCUCAACCGGGCGAGGUCGGCGGAAACUGUCCGACUCGAGGACGGUAGAGGGGGGUGGAAUUCCCGGUGUAGUGGUGAAAUGCGUAGAGAUCGGGAGGAACACCUGUGGCGAAGGCGGCCCCCUGGGCCGGCCCUGACACUGAGACGCGAAGGCGUGGGGAGCGAACGGG